rnacentral:rRNA from 1 species
CAGUCGCCGCGGUAAUACGGAGGGUGCAAGCGUUAAUCGGAAUUACUGGGCGUAAAGCGCACGCAGGCGGUCUGACAAGUCAGAUGUGAAAUCCCCGGGCUUAACCUGGGAACUGCAUUUGAAACUGUCAGGCUGGAGUCUUGUAGAGGGGGGUGGAAUUCCAGGUGUAGCGGUGAAAUGCGUAGAGAUCUGGAGGAAUACCGAUGGCGAAGGCAGCCAUCUGGCCUAAUACUGACGCUGAGGUACGAAAGCAUGGGGAGCAAACAGGAUUAGAUACCCCGGUAGUCCCUGUCUCUUAUAC